rnacentral:rRNA from 1 species
GACGAACGCUGGCGGCGUGCUUAACACAUGCAAGUCGAACGGAAAGGCCCAGCUUGCUGGGUGCUCGAGUGGCGAACGGGUGAGUAACACGUGGGUGAUCUGCCCCUAACUUCGGGAUAAGCUUGGGAAACUGGGUCUAAUACCGGAUAGGACAAUCGUUUAGUGUCGGUUGUGGAAAGUUUUUUCGGUUAGGGAUGAGCCCGCGGCCUAUCAGCUUGUUGGUGGGGUAAUGGCCUACCAAGGCGUCGACGGGUAGCCGGCCUGAGAGGGUGGACGGCCACAUUGGGACUGAGAUACGGCCCAGACUCCUACGGGAGGCAGCAGUGGGGAAUAUUGCACAAUGGGAGCAAGCCUGAUGCAGCGACGCCGCGUGGGGGAUGACGGCCUUCGGGUUGUAAACCUCUUUCGACAGGGACGAAGCUUUGGUGACGGUACCUGUAGAAGAGGCACCGGCUAACUACGUG